AUCCCUUGACAUCCUGCGAACUUUCUAGAGAUAGAUUGGUGCCUUCGGGAACGCAGUGACAGGUGCUGCAUGGCUGUCGUCAGCUCGUGUCGUGAGAUGUUGGGUUAAGUCCCGCAACGAGCGCAACCCUUAUCAUUAGUUGCUAACAUUUAGUUGAGAACUCUAAUGAGACUGCCGGUGAUAAACCGGAGGAAGGUGAGGACGACGUCAAGUCAUCAUGGCCCUUAUGGCUAGGGCUACACACGUGCUACAAUGGGGGGUACAAAGAGCAGCCAACUGGCGACAGUGCGCGAAUCUCAUAAAACCCUUCGUAGUCCGGAUCGGAGUCUGCAACUCGACUCCGUGAAGUCGGAAUCGCUAGUAAUCGUGAAUCAGAAUGUCACGGUGAAUACGUUCCCGGGCCU
rnacentral:rRNA from 1 species